UACGUAGGGGGCAAGCGUUGUCCGGAAUCAUUGGGCGUAAAGAGCGCGUAGGCGGCCCAGUAAGUCCGCUCUGAAAGUCAGGGGGCUCAACCCCUGGAUGCGGGUGGAUACUGCUGGGCUAGAGUCCGGAAGAGGCGAGUGGAAUUCCUGGUGUAGCGGUGAAAUGCGCAGAUAUCAGGAAGAACACCCGUGGCGAAGGCGGCUCUCUGGAACGCAACUGACGCUGAGACGCGAAAGCGUGGGGAGCGAACAGGAUAG
rnacentral:rRNA from 1 species